rnacentral:rRNA from 1 species
CGGCGAGGGGAGUGAAAAAGAACCUGAAACCGUGUACGUACAAGCAGUGGGAGCCUCUUUUAUGGGGUGACUGCGUACCUUUUGUAUAAUGGGUCAGCGACUUAUAUUCUGUAGCAAGGUUAACCGAAUAGGGGAGCCGAAGGGAAACCGAGUCUUAACCGGGCGUUAAGUUGCAGGGUAUAGACCCGAAACCCGGUGAUCUAGCCAUGGGCAGGUUGAAGGUUGGGUAACACUAACUGGAGGACCGAACCGACUAAUGUUGAAAAAUUAGCGGAUGACUUGUGGCUGGGGGUGAAAGGCCAAUCAAACCGGGAGAUAGCUGGUUCUCCCCGAAAGCUAUUUAGGUAGCGCCUCGUGAAUUCAUCUCCGGGGGUAGAGCACUGUUUCGGCAAGGGGGUCAUCCCGACUUACCAACCCGAUGCAAACUGCGAAUACCGGAGAAUGUUAUCACGGGAGACACACGGCGGGUGCUAACGUCCGUCGUGAAGAGGGAAACAACCCAGACCGCCAGCUAAGGUCCCAAAGUCAUGGUUAAGUGGGAAACGAUGUGGGAAGGCCCAGACAGCCAGGAUGUUGGCUUAGAAGCAGCCAUCAUUUAAAGAAAGCGUAAUAGCUCACUGGUCGAGUCGGCCUGCGCGGAAGAUGUAACGGGGCUAAACCAUGCACCGAAGCUGCGGCAGCGACACUGUGUGUUGUUGGGUAGGGGAGCGU